UACGAAGGGGGCUAGCGUUGCUCGGAAUCACUGGGCGUAAAGGGUGCGUAGGCGGCAUUUUAAGUCAGGGGUGAAAUCCUGGAGCUCAACUCCAGAACUGCCUUUGAUACUGAGAGGCUUGAGUCCGGGAGAGGUGAGUGGAACUGCGAGUGUAGAGGUGAAAUUCGUAGAUAUUCGCAAGAACACCAGUGGCGAAGGCGGCUCACUGGCCCGGUACUGACGCUGAGGUGCGAAAGCGUGGGGAGCAAACAGG
rnacentral:rRNA from 1 species